rnacentral:rRNA from 1 species
GACGAACGCUGGCGGCAUGCCUAAUACAUGCAAGUCGAGCGAACAGAUGAAGUGCUUGCACUUCUGACGUUAGCGGCGAACGGGUGAGUAACACGUAAGGAAUCUACCUAUAAGCGGGGGAUAACAUUCGGAAACGGGUGCUAAUACCGCAUAAUAUCUUCUUCCGCAUGGAAGAAGAUUGAAAGACGGCUCUGCUGUCACUUAUAGAUGACCUUGCGGUGCAUUAGUUAGUUGGUGGGGUAAUGGCCUACCAAGACGAUGAUGCAUAGCCGACCUGAGAGGGUGAUCGGCCACAUUGGGACUGAGACACGGCCCAAACUGCUACGGGAGGCAGCAGUAAGGAAUCGUCCGCAAUGGGCGAAAGCCUGACGGAGCAAUGCCGCGUGAGUGAAGAAGGCAUUCGGGUCGUAAAACUCUGUUAUAAGAGAAGAACAAAUUGUAGAGUAACUGCUACAGUCUUGACGGUAUCUAACCAGAAAGCCACGGCUAACUACGUGCCAGCAGCCGCAGUAA